CCCCAAUGCAACCCCCCAGCCAGCAACAGCAUGAGUAGGUCAGAGGGUACCAAGUCCCUGCCCCAUCCACCAGCAACCAGGGGUCUAGAGAACAGUAGAGCUGGCGACGUUGGGCUGGCCGGAACGCUGGUGAGGAAGAGAUGAUAACUAAAAACCCACGAGCCUGAACCUGGUCCACUCCACCUGCAGUGUUGUGACCACCACCACAGCACUCCCUGAGGGGAUCUCAUUUAGUCAAUUAAUAUAUUACAGGCUCAUAUUUUGUGGAGCAGGUAAAAACAAAUUCACGUUAGAUAUUUUUGGUCACUUUCAUUUUUGAUCAUAUGUUUAGGCAAUUGAGUAUUUUGGCCCACAUGAUGGAAAGUUUGGAUGCCCCUGUGUUAGUAUGUGUGCCGUUGUAUCCAACGAUUUACAAUUUCAGAUGAUGGCAAUGCUCUGUGAGAUGCUUAAAGCUUUGGAUGUUUUUUUUAUACCCUCAAUCUGCUUUAAACUUCUCCCCAACUUUCCAAGAACUUGUGUUCUUUGGGGCUUAUGAUGAUUUGUUCCCUAAUGCAUGUCGACCAAGUUGGGAAUCUGCAGGACAACGCUGACUUCCUUAAAUCUGGCUAUAGCAAUGCAUUUUGCUUAUGGGUGGUAUUGAAGCAAAGUUAUUUUUUUAAAUUAUAAAAUUUCUAAAUGUCAUAAAUUUACAAAACAUUUUAGCAGAUAAACAAAUGUAUAUUUGUAACAAAAGAAACCCCUUUCACUGCCAUUAAAUGUUAUACUUUUUCAAACAAAAACUGUCAAAUUGCACUGUUAUGUCAACAAUAUUGGCUGUACCAAUUUAAGAUAAUAAAUUCCUUUAAAAUUCAUAGUUCAAGAUAAUAUACCCAAAAUAUUCUCAAACCAUGUCCUGAAUAUUUUAAAGUUUUGUUUAUUUACCUUGGUCAAAUGCUUUUUUAAAGAAAUCAAACUUCUU